CCCUUAGAUGUUCUGGGCCGCACGCGUGCUACACUGAGUAAUUCAAUGGGUAAGGGAACGCUAGAGCAUUACCUAAUCUUGAAAUUUGCUCGUGAUGGGGAUCGACGGUUGCAAUUUUCCGUCGUGAACGAGGAAUACCUUGUAGGCGCAUGUCAUCAUCAUGCGCCGAAUACGUCCCUGCCCUUUGUACACACCGCCCGUCGCUCAUACCGAUUGAGUGAUCCGGUGAGGCUCUGGGACCUGGACGGAAAGAGCGUUUCGCUUGUUCUGUUUGGGAAACUUGGUCGAACCUUAUCAUUUAGAGGAAGGAGAAGUCGUAACA
rnacentral:rRNA from 1 species